rnacentral:lncRNA from 1 species
AAUAGGAAUUACUUGGGUUUCCUUGAGUUUCACAUGGCAGGGGUGUGGGUGAUUUAGGCUAGUGAUUAUUCAAGACACAGGGUGUGAUUGGACUUUAUGAUUUGGAAGGAUUACACUUUCUUAUGAAGUGGGUGUUUAAUUUCUCUUCAUUUUUAACCCAUUCUUUGUAAAUGCUAAAAUUACAAAUUAUCAUGCCUUUGGUCUGUGGCGUAGGACAAUCUGUGCUCGUUUUCUCCCGCCUUGGCUCAGAUUAACCACUUUUCUCAAGUACUACUCAUGCUACAAAAAAAAAAUCUGACUUUUCCUUUUCAAAUAGUUCACACGAGCGUGUGCGCACACUCGGGCAGGGAUGUGUGUUUCGUAACAGGUUUCUGUGCCUGUGACUCAGAGCUGAGCUAUUAAGCCAUAACACAUGGCUGACAUCUGGAACUCACUUGCAAGCUUUUCUCAUUCGAAUAUUGGUAGCCACAGCUCUCUACUCUCCUUCUCUCCAAGACGUAGCCACGCUUUCUCUAUCCACACCUCAUGGAACAGAGGAAGGAGAUGUUGGAAUGCGGAACGAUGGCAGGGCAGCUGCAGUGGCCUCCACACAGCCAGAGCAAUACUAAUGCAGUCGGUUUUGUCAUCUCUCCAAGGGACCAUAUGGCUUUCUUCAUGUGCCACUGCACCUUUAUCUCAGCAGAAUCCUAAAGCCCACAAAUGCCCCAUCACUGUGCACUUUGCAGCAGGGACACCCCACAGGCUCCUAGGCACUGCUGCCUGGAGUACUGGAUGGAGCCUCAUCAGGUUGGCAAGCUUUGCUAAUGAACACAACUUGCAGUAGGGCCAUGAGCAAAACUAGGUACUGCCAUAGCCACCCUCUUCAGAAACUGAGAAUCCCUCAGAGCCUGGGAAACCAAAAGAGACCUGCUUGUCUAUGCCUGAUCUCACAAUGGCUCUUAAGGGUCUUGGGUUUCAUUAUAGUGCUGUCGGUUCCUGGUGGAUGCACGUGGCUGUUCACUGGGGUGUUGUGCAGAGCAUCUGCCUCUGCGAGCUUUCCUUGGAUGGUCAGUCCCUGAAGGCUUCAGUGGUGUCCCAAAUCACCCCUCCUGCCCUAGGGUUUGCACACUGUCUCUGAUGCCAGACCUUGGUUGGUGUCCCCAGCACGCGCACAUUUCCAGACCCAGCCUUGCCCAACACAGUGUGGUGGUUUCCAAAGGGCUUCGACAGAGUAGCAGUGUGCCUGCUUCCCCUGUCCAAGUGCUGCAGCAGCAAACAGUGACCCUACUACUUAAUAUUUCAAAUAUACAUGAACAAUCCACCAACUCUCCAUGUCUAGUUGUUUUCUCAGAUGCUCACUUCUUGCCAUGGGUCAUGGCUUUCCCCUGGGGUAUCUCACGCUCAUUUCAGACCUGAGAAAAUGCUUGCAUGGUGAAAGCUGGUAUGUGUUUCUACAACUGUUUUAGUAGGUUUAAUAAAAGAUAUUGCCCUCUGUCUGCCCGCCUUGUU